rnacentral:rRNA from 1 species
UGGGGAGUAUUGCGCAAUGGGCGAAAGCCUGACGCAGCGACGCCGCGUGUGGGAUGACGGCCUUCGGGUUGUAAACUACUGUCGGGAGGGACGAAUGCGCCGCAAGGCGAGUGACGGUACCUCCAAAGGAAGCACCGGCUAACUCCGUGCCAGCAGCCGCGGUAAUACGGAGGGUGCGAGCGUUGUCCGGAAUCACUGGGCGUAAAGGGCGCGUAGGCGGCCCGGUAAGUAGGGGGUGAAAUCCUGCGGCUUAACCGCAGGGCUGCCUUCUAAACUGUCGGGCUCGAGCACGGUAGAGGCAGAUGGAAUUCCCGGUGUAGCGGUGGAAUGCGUAGAGAUCGGGAAGAACAUCAGUGGCGAAGGCGGUCUGCUGGGCCGUUGCUGACGCUGAGGCGCGACAGCGUGGGGAGCAAACAGGAUUAGAUACCCUGGUAGUCCACGCCGUAAACGAUGGGCACUAGGCGUCGGGGGGAGCGACCCUCCCGGUGCCGUCGCUAACGCAGU